rnacentral:misc_RNA from 1 species
GAUGAAGAACGCAGCGAAAUGCGAUAAGUAGUGUGAAUUGCAGAAUUCAGUGAAUCAUCGAAUCUUUGAACGCACAUUGCGCCCCAUGGUAUUCCGUGGGGCAUGCCUGUUCGAGCGUCAUUUACCCCCUCAAGCUCCGCUUGGUGUUGGGCGUCUGUCCCGCUUCGCGCGCGGACUCGCCCCAAAGGUAUUGGCAGCGGUCGUGCCAGCUUCUCGCGCAGCACAUUGCGCUUCUCGAGGCACCGGUGGGCCCGCGUCCAUCAAGCUCACCCCCCCAGUUAGACCUCGGAUCAGGUAGGGAUACCCGCUGAACUUAAGCAUAUCAAUAAGCGGAGGA